rnacentral:tRNA from 1 species
GGCUUUGUGGUGUAGGGGUAAGCACUUGAGAUUCUGACCGAACUUAUGGGUUCUAUAACCACCUUCUCAAAACCCAGGUUCGAUUCCUGGCAAGGCCU